UACGUAGGGGGCAAGCGUUGUCCGGAUUUACUGGGCGUAAAGCGCGCGUAGGCGGAUCACUAAGUCAGGGGUGAAAUCCCGAGGCUUAACCUCGGAACUGCCUUUAAUACUGGAGAUCUGGAGAUCGGGAGAGGUUGGUGGAAUUCCGAGUGUAGAGGUGAAAUUCGUAGAUAUUCGGAGGAACACCAGAAGCGAAGGCGGCCAACUGGCCCGAUACUGACGCUGAGGCGCGAAAGCGUGGGGAGCAAACAGG
rnacentral:rRNA from 1 species